rnacentral:rRNA from 1 species
CCAGACUCCUACGGGAGGCAGCAGUGAGGAAUAUUGGUCAAUGGGCGCGAGCCUGAACCAGCCAAGUCGCGUGAGGGAGGACGGCCCUACGGGUUGUAAACCUCUUUUGCCGGGGAGCAACGGGCGUCACGUGUGGCGCCACUGAGAGUACCCGGAGAAAAAGCAUCGGCUAACUCCGUGCCAGCAGCCGCGGUAAUACGGAGGAUGCGAGCGUUAUCCGGAUUUAUUGGGUUUAAAGGGUGCGUAGGCGGACUGUUAAGUCAGCGGUAAAAGCCCGGGGCUCAACCCUGGGACUGCUCUGGAAACUGUAAAGCUGGAGUGCAGGAGGGGCAGGCGGAAUUCCUGGUGUAGCGGUGAAAUGCGUAGAUAUCAGGAGGAACACCGGCGGCGGAGGCGGCCUGCUGGACCGUAACUGACGUUGAGGCUCGAAAGCGUGGGUAUCGAACAGGAUUAGAUACCCGAGUA